AGAAUCAACGCUGGCGGCGUGCCUAACACACGCAAGUCGCACGAGAAAGGGGAGCAAUCCCUGAGUAAAGUGGCGCACGGGUGAGUAACACGUGAAUAAUCUACCUCCGAGUGGGGAAUAACUGAGAGAAAUCUUAGCUAAUACCGCAUAACACUUACGAGUCAAAGCAGCAAUGCGCUUGGAGAGGAGUUCGCGGCCGAUUAGUUAGUUGGCGGGGUAAUGGCCCACCAAGACGAUGAUCGGUA
rnacentral:rRNA from 1 species